UCCUCAUCCUUUUCCUCCUCCUUCGGCUCCUCCUCCUCCUCCUCCUCGCUCUCCUCCUCCUCCUCCUCCUCCUCCUCCUCCUCCUCUCCCCUCCCCUCCCCCGCAGCAGCUGCCCCAACUAUCACCACAGCCCGCGGCAUCAGAGGCGCAACCCCGCGUCCCCGCAGGACCGAGAAGCGACUCUACGGCGCUCCAAUCUCCUUGUGGCUCUGGCUUCGGGGCAAGAGGGGCGCCUCGCACACGCUGCUAUUUGUCCUCUUCUCAGGAAUGCUCCGGGAUGCCGAGAAUGCUCCUCGUCCCCUCUUAUGGUAAAGGUUGUUCUGAACCCGUAUCUGUUGAACAUGAUGUGGAGCGAGUGCAACCUUCGCCCGGGAGCGUGGAGCGGAGACAACUCGCCACCUUUGUAAAUACUUCUCAAAAUCCCCAGCGGAGGGUGAAGGGUGAGGGCGAUGCUGGAGCAUGUGAGCGCUGCGGCGGCGGCGGCGGCGGUGGCGGCAGUGGCAGUGGCAGCGGCGCCUGUUCUCCAGAGUGUGCGAUAAGAGGCACGUGUGGUAUCGGUAAUGAGGUGUGUGGCGGUCCUCCUGCGGUCUCCCGUGGCGCUGGAGGUGAGGAGGCGGAGGGAGAGAUGCCUACCUGCCAGAGUGACCUCGUGUACGCCCGCCCAGUGAGAGUGCUGGAGGAGGGAGAGGAUGCCGGCGGGGAGCUGAGCGCCCUCCCAUUGCCGGGAGGAGCGAGGGGAACUCACGUCAGGGGGAGUGAGUGCCCGGCGAGGCAGGGGGAGCCUCCAGCCUUGUCCGACGGCCGAGCGCGUGAGAGGACCUCAGUGUUAGUGGACGGGUGCGACCUGGCUCGGCGGCCGCACGGGAAUGAGUGCCAAGUGCUACAGCAGACUGGCACUGGUGGCGGGUGUGCGGGCAGUCGUAGCCAUGACACGGUGGGGGAGGCACACGCCCCGCGAUAUCCGGGGGAGGUGAUCGGUUCCGUGCUGGUGUUCGUGGGGGAAAUACUGUGGGAAUAUCCUGUGUUUGGGAGUGACGAUGCGGCUCCGUGUGGUAAAGAGGACGGCGACUGUGAUGAGUGGCUAUUAGUGCUCUCCGAUCAGGAUUGGGAGGCAGCUAUUAAUAGUGAUGGUGAACUAGUGACCAUGAGCAGUGACAACGAGAGUGUAGCGGGCUCUCGCCCACCUCACACUUCGACCGCACAACAACAUCCUGAUAUAAACAAGUGCCAAAGUUCUAUAUAUGGGUUUAAAAUAGUGAAAAACGAAAACGUAAAAGUCAAAAAAUUGCUACCAGUAUUUACGAGCUCGAGAAGUUCUUCGAGUCAGAACAUUACCAACUCUGUGACCUUCCGCGUUAAGGGCGACUCGACGUGGCAGACCAACCGUGCCAACAGGAACUCUGACGUGUGUGAUAUGCAGAUGUACAGGGGAUGUGGGGAGGGGGGACACCCGAGCUUCUCUCAGGAGGCUGAAGGAGGAGGCGGCGGAGGAGGCUCCUUCAUCAAGCUCUGCGGCGUCAGCCUGGGGUCGAGGCCAGCCUCUCCUGACCCCUACCCUCUCUUCCGCUCCGCCACCUUGCCCAGGAAGAUGUCGCAGACACGGUACUCGUCCGUGCCCCCGGGGCCUGCGUCUCGGGCCAUGUCGCCCCUCUUUUCGCCCGUCUCAUCGCAGAUCUUCGAGUUUCCGUCCGGGCCAGGCGUUCCGCCGGCGUCGCCGUCGGCCCAGGAGAGCUCAGCAGCAGCUCGUCGGGACGAAUUAUCUCAGCGAAAUGGGUGCAGUGAAAACGCCGCCCGCACUCAGGCGGCUCCUGCCCAUGCCCCAGGGGACACUUGCGAUGCUACUGGGCAGAAUCAACAACAUACUCAGGUUUCAGCUCCAAAUGGACCAUGUAUUAUAAUCGAGAACAAAUCUUUAGAAGAGCAGACUGAAACGGAGUGUGUUACAGGGGAUGGCGGUUUAAGUUCCACAAGCGGUGCCUAUGAUAAUUCUAGUAGUCAGUCAUUACCUCAUUUUUCGGAUGUACCCAAGAGUAUAUCAGAUAAACAAGAUAUAUGUACAGUAUCUAGUAAAGUGCCUUGUGACGGUGACGCGAAAAUCACCGCACCCGAAUCUGUAUGUAGCGUUGGUGGCACAGUUGGUGCCACUUCUGGUGGCCCUGUGGCACCAGGUAGUGACCUAGAUGUGACUUGCGGAACUACCACAUGUUCUCAGCCAAAACUUACGGGGAAAUCCACUGCGAGUAUUGAACAAACACAACCGCUCAAAACCGCCUCGCAAUCAGCGAUAGCUCAGAAUGAUGUUAAUUUAAGAGAGAUGAGAACUAGUGGAGACUGUGAGACUUUUACAUCUCAAGACGCUGUGGUGCCCCUUGAGGAAGUAACGACAACAAAAGAAAAUACAGCUAUUGUCGCACCCCUGCUAGGCGCUCAAGAAGGGGACACGAAACCACCUGUCGACGAGAAACUCGUUAUUUCUGAAAUGCCAGUGGAGCAGGUAGUCAGCCGUUGCGAGGGCGAAGGAAACACGUGUCUUAGAAUUACGGAGCCAGCUCUUCCUCAGCCGCCGAAGCAGUCGAGCGAUGUUCCCUCCAGUUUAUCUCCCAAUAUGUUAAUGCAUGGGCAGACUCCCACGAUCCCGCCCGAACGGAAGUCAGAGGCAGGAACUACGGUUAUCUCGACGGACUUCCGUAAGCAAAAGCUCUCUCAGAAGAGCAGUGAUGUUAUCAUGCCUCGCCCUUCCUCACCGGCGACGUCUCGGGCUCCUUCGAAGGAACCCGGCGAGAUUCUACCGCCCGAGAACUCGUCUCCUUCGGAAGUAGAGGAUAGAGUACCUACAGUUGCUGAGCCUGUUUCGCGUUCGAUGUCCGGCGCAAACAGUGAUGCGGCGAUUGUGUUCGUUGAGUCACACCUUACGAAGGAGAGCAAGGAGGAAACCACAGGGGAAGAUUCUCAUUACAUAUCAUCGACAGCUGAUCAGCAUAUUGCAUUACAAGAGCACGUGCAUGGGAAUGAGAGCGUUAUUAAGGAUAAACCAUGUGCAGCGAAAGAAUCACAGGUGACUGACACUAAAACAGAACAUACUAUCACGGAUAUUGGUGAAAGGACUAAUGACAUAGGGCAACAAAGUGACGCUGAAAUGUUAGAUAUUGCUGAACCGGUGCGGGAAGAUCCAACAAGUACAGAGAGUGCCAAAGUUCCUCCCUCGCCGGUGAAACUUCCCUCGUCACGUUAUACUCAAGCACCGCCUCUGCAAGACGUUUCUACAGGAUUGCAUGUUGCACAGCAAUCUUGUCAUCUUGAUAACGAGCUCUUUAUUGCAGAAGACAAUUGUAUAUCGCAAAAUAUCGAAAAAGAUGCAACUAACGGCAUGCAAACCCACGUUCAGGAUAUAUCUAUCGAGUGCAAUUCAGAAACUGAAAACACCUCACCACCUUCCGCAGGCAGCGCAUCUGUUUCACAGCCACCUGCUUUACCGUCUGACAGUGAUAGUGUCGAGGGAGAAAGUAAUAGAUCGCAGGCGGCGGAGCAGAUACGAGUCUCAGUUCGUGACGACAGCUCAGAAAAUUCGUGUAGACAGGAAUCCUCUUCAGACGUCCCCGGGGAGACACAUGGGAACGAGACCGUGCGUGGCGAUUCCGGAAGAUUGUCUGAUUCUGGGGCAAGUGAUAUUGACAACACUAGUGAUAAGCAGUUAAUAACAGAUAAGUGCCAUAGUGACGAAAAGAAAGCACCGGCUGUCACGUCCCCGGCCUCGCAACGUGACAGAACAGCGAGUAUCGGCGGCGGCAGAGGAAGGACACCGAGCCGAGAGGAGAGUGUGGGCGCGGAGCCAAGUGCGUCUGUAGUGGGUCGUGGGCCGGGUAUCAGCGAGCGUGCGGCGCUCAUCCAGCAACAGGUGUGCGUCCGGCCGCGUUCACGAACGACUCACUUCCCGCUGGAUAUCGUCUGCGGUACUAAGCUGCAGCAUCAACAAACACGUACCAAGCUAGACGCGCCGGAUCGAGUCGUAAGGCAAAGGAACUCCUCGCUAGGUCACGUCCAUCCGCUCGUGGUCGACCGCGACGCCACGGCCCGCUCGAAAUCAGCUUCGCGGAUAGGUUCGGGUAGUUCUGAGGCCGUGUCUGAUUGUUUGCGCGCUGCUCAGGAGGAGAGUGCGGUGCAGGAGGCACGCGGGGCUCCUCAUGCAGCCGCGAAGUCGGAAUCCAGCUCGCGAGCAGAGCGGGCGCUGCCGCCGAUCCCACGCCCACUCAUCGCUCCCCUGGAUGCUGCCCUGAAGAACAAGAUCAAAAUGACAAUCGAUUCGUGUGGAGAUUCGUGCUCGGGAAGCGAGUCGCCUGUCGGGGCUGCAUCUCACGCUCGUGGCGAGUCGGGCUCCCCGGCCGUUGACCGUCGUGACUCGGGAAAUGAAAGUUCUGCGCCACUUAUGAGGGAAAUUGUUCCUCCAAAGAGGAAAAGUGCGUCGCAGCCUACAACGAACUGUGCGGUCCGUGAAGAGAAGAAAGUUCACGAGGAAAAUGAUGAGAGUAAUGAGAAAAAAGUGUUUCAAAAUGAAGAUAUCAAAAGUAGGAGUGAAAUAUGCAAGCCUCGGGUUAACAUUAUUGAAUCUGGACCUGAACUACACGUAGAUGAAAAGAUUGUCACCAAGGAUGUUAAUGAUGCAAUCACGCCAGCAUUAAAGGAUGAGAAUAGUAUAACAAUUGAUGUUAAGAAUAAUAGUGACGCCAUGCCCCCUCUUGCAUUGAACGGCCAGUCAGACGUAGAACAGAUUUCAGUUGUUAAUGAUUCAUGCGGGGUAGUCUCUCAGGCAGGUGUCAGCGACCAAACUGAUGCAGUGACAGUUGUUAGUAAUCAGAGUGAGGCUCAAUCACAGCCCAUGGCCAAGAGCAUGACUGUUAUAAUGCUACCAGCGGUCACGGAUCAUGCCGACGCCACAGCUGGCAAGGAUUUCGGAGUCGAUACUGAUACCACACUCCCGGCAAGUGUUAAGGAGGAGAAUGAUGUCACGCGGGAAACGGCUGUCAAAGACCAAACUAAUGUCUCGGUAUUAAAAUCUGUCAGUGAUCUGGGUAAUGUCACGCCAUCGACGGCUGAUAAAAAUCAGCCUGAUAUGGUGCUACCAACAGGUAUAUCUGACACUACACCUGCCGAAGAGAUCAAAGUAUCAGCAGAAGUUGGCGCAGGAUCCAGUGUUAAGACUUCCAGCGAUGGGGCACCUCCGGCGAGGCCCUCGGCGAAGGAGCCCCACAUCACCUCCCGACGAUCGCAAGGCCGAAUGCCGACCCCCGUGUGUCUCCCUCCCUCCCGAGCGAGUGGCAUCUGUGGCUUCGGGCCGGAGACCUGGCUCAAUGCAGUCCCUCUCAGGUACGGCCGGGAGAGUGAGAGGUCUGCCGGGAAGAGAAGUGGCCAGUGUGGCGAGGGGAACAUUGUGACGAGUGACAGGGGGAAUCUAUCCGAGGGCAGUGUUGUUGCAUCGGACGGGAAUGCAUCUGUCGCAGGCGCUAAGAAUGAGUUGUUCAUCGAAGAAGACCACGUGGAAGGCACGAGCGAAGCCAAAGGAGAUGCCGGAGGGGAGGUAGUGCUACGGCCCGCAGGUGUUACCGCAGGGGAGAAUACGCCGCGUAGACGCACGCGGGAUUCGUUGUUGCUCAGUAAUCAGUCGAAUCUCCUCUUUAUCGACGAGUCCGCCCCCGACUUGUGUGAUCAAGAACAGCCGUCGUCAUCGAAUAUAGAAAUCGGGGAUAGUAGCGGCGUCGACGUGGAGGAGGACGCCCCACCCCCAUCCCCAUCUCCGCCGGAACCACCGCGCCCCCCGCGCCCCCCGCCACCCCCUGCUGAGUUGCUACAAACGGACGCCCAGGUGUGUGUCACGAGUAAGAUCAUUAACAACGAAUGUGGCCGGAACGAUCUACAUCCCUCAGCGACGGACGAGUUUGAGGGUUCAGCUUUGCCUUCCCACGCAAGACCGGUGAACCCGCCUGCCACACGAGACGGCGACCUGGGUGCUUUGGAGAGCGGGGUGUGCGUUCUGGUGACGAGUGUCGAAGAGUUAGCUCCGCCCCCGCCGCCGCCGCCGCCACCGAGGGAAUGUGAUCGCCGCGGCUCCCUACUGGGAAGAGAAGGAUCUCAGGACGACUACGAACAGGCUCUAGAAGUUGCCACGCCAGAUCCUGGCCAUGGAUUCAGUCACAGCUGCACCAGCGUCGCUACGGUGGUCCGUGUGGAUACUCCCAACCAGCAGCCACCCAGCCGUCCUCCCCCGCCGGAGGAUGACGAGGCAGAGGACGUCUUCGUCGACGCGAGGGACGACGUGGCGCUAGUGGCCACGGCUACAGAGACGUUGAGUCUUCCGGAAGUCGAUCAGCACCAGCAACUCCAGGCCUCCUCCCCCACGCUGAUGGAAACCUCGCCCGCGACGUCAGAGCAUUCGGCUGUAGAGGCUGGCCUUGGGACGGGAGUUCUCUCGCAGAGCACGUCAGACACGCAGUCUUCCGGGAUAUCUGGCACUUCCUCAGCAGAUAUGUCAGCUACCUCAUCGCGCAGUAUGACAGGAACACAAUCGACGAGCUCGUCAGGAGGCAUGGCCAAGGCUAUACGACCGGACGCGAGACGCCCUCUAGUCCUGAUCAGGCAGCCCGGGAGCGACGCCCUUGAGGACGGCUCUGUUUCCUCCGGGGGCCACAUGACUGACCCCGACAUGUUAGCUUCAGCGUCGGCUUCGGCUUCGUCUACAGGAUCCGAGGCGUCGUGGACGUCGAGUGGCGGCCCAGUUGCAAGACGAGACCUCCUGCCGCUGGAUGAGGACGAGGACGAGGUGCAGUGGCGCGCCCUGCUGGCUGUGAACCCGCCAGAGAGCGAGGAGGAGCGGACGGGCUACGAGAGCGACGAAGAUUUCGAUACGAUGGAUGCCGAGAUGCGUCGCCUCGAAGAAAAGCUGCGCAGAUUUGAGAAAGAACUGGGUGACGUCCCUGAAGACUCGUCAGGUAACAGCGAGACCAAAGUGAAGGGCUCUUCGGGUGGACCUCCGGGCCCCAUGUUGCGCUCGGAGGACCUUGAAGCUCUCAGGAUAUCCCCGCUGCCGAAGGUGUUCCCUUCCGUCUGCAAAGCGAAGACCAAACACCUGAGCCUCAUGACCAAGCUCGACCUGCAGCAGUAUGGGGAAUCAGACAGCGAGUCAGACAGCGAGUCGGAUCGCGUCUCCAGUGACUCGGACUCAGCAGACUUCUUGUUCGUGAAGACGAAGAUUAAACUGAAGCCGGGAGACCGGAAGUGCCGCUCACUAGAGCAGAGACGAUCCAAGAAUAUGAACGUCUUAAAUGAGUCUCGGGACGCAAAGAAACGCGAAAAGCAGCUUUAUGUUUGUGAAGAGAGGUUGGAUCUGAGUAAUCUGGCCAUCCCAAGGGACCCGGCAGAGGACGAUUCCUUCAGCGUCGGGUACGAAGAGCAAGAGAAAUUUGACAUUCCUCCUCCUCCCCCGCCUCCUGUCGGAUACGGCCAUCAGGUCUGGUCAGAAUCCGACGUCGGGAGAGACCCUACUUUGCCUGAGGGUCAGGACGAGCCUUACCCCCCCGAGAUGCUCUCAGACGAAAUGCUGGACGACGAUGGCACGAUGUAUUACAGCGGCGAGGACCAGUCACUCCUUGGAUACAUUUGGCAGGAGGAGGAUGGCAUGGCGGCGGUCGACUUCGAAGGACUGGAGGACUUUCAGAGUUUUAAGGGUCAAAGCGCCCUUAUGUUCAUGUUCGAAGAUGACCUCGACGAUGACUGUGAAAUCGGUCAACAUGUAGACAACGGCGACGUGACGGAUUACGAGCUGAAGCAACCAGCGGCAGAGCAACAUGCAUGCGACAACGCCUUGCCAGCAGAGCCUCCAGGCGGCGCCCCACCGCGGACGCGCCGGGGUUCGCAGAAGAGCUCGGACCGAACUUUUGUUUCUGCAUUUAAAAACAGCUUGAAGAAAGCUAGCAAGUAUCUGGGACCAAAACUAGAGAGUUAUCAGAAGAAAGAGGCGAGCCACGGUGUCGUCCCUCCGCCAGUAGAAUGGUCGGCUGAUAGUAACAGUAAUAAUAAUAAUAAUGUAACAGCCAAUAGCAAUAACAAUAACAGCAGCAGCAGCAGCAACAACAACAUCAAUAAUAAUAACAGCAACAACAAUAGUGAUCUUGGUUUAGUGGAUGCAGGAACCUCACCCUCGUCGAACUACGCGCGACGCUACUCGGCCGGGCUGGGCGAGGGCACGGCGGGCGUGUACAACGUGCAGAGUGGGCGCGUGGCCCCAACCUCGGCCCUCGCGCACCCGAGUGAUAGUGAAGGUCCUGAUCGCCACUCUUGUAGCUCCGGCGAGUUCUACGCCGCCCCCGCCCUGUGCGUCAACACCUCCGACGAAGAUCCUCCCGCCCCCCCGAGGCGCCCGCAAGAAGCCCUUGGCCAGCCUCCGGCCCCUCCUCCGAGAUGGGUGCAGCGGAGAUCUUACGUCGCCAAGGACGUGGAUUCCGACGCCCUGAUGCGUCGCCUGUCGCAGACCUCCCAGGCGUCCCACGAAGGAUGCUGGUUCAGCACCCUUCCUCCAGCCAACAUGGCGCCUCAUCCCUCAUUCCAGGCUCCCGUUAACACUUUCCUGCCUCCCCAUCAGGUGCCUCCCCUCCUCCUCCCGCUCAGCAAUCAGCCGCUGCCUCAAACAGCAGCGACAGCCCCUGCCCAGACCACGGUACCGGGGUUCCCGGAUAAGGAGAUGCAGUUUUACCUCGUGGGAACCCCGACCACGGAGGUCGACAUCGCGGAGCCAGAGGUUCGUCGAAGGUCCAGGGGCACUGGUGAAUUAGAUGACGUGCAGCAGGUGGCAUUGCCUGUGUCUCCAAGCCAUGCUGACUCGUGCCCGCCACCGGUAACGUGGGCACCCGGUUAUUACGACAAAUGUUUCAAGAUGGACAAUUAUCCGGGUGUGGCUCCACACUUUUGCCCCAACCACGGGAAUACAGAUGCCAUCGUGGAGCUUCCCCCGGGCGGAGGGCCUCCCCUCACGCCGACUCACAGACCGACUUCGAUCAAACAGCUCAAGCGGAAGCAGCAAGAGAAGGCCCUCCGGCAGGAGGCCGAGGAGGGCAUAGAGGGAUGUACCUUCUGCGUGGGCGUCCCCCUGAUGCGCUCGCGCCCCCCGGAAGAUAGCACCCACUGGCGACAGUCUAGCCCGCAUCCCCGAGCUAUCACCGACCGGCGCUCCUGGCCGCCCAGAGUAAGUUGUGUAGCUCCACUCCUGCGCUGGAGUCUCCCCUUCCUCCCCCGCAGUGUCACCCCCCAAUCCUCCAGCACUGCAACCCCAAGACAACCCUGCCCUUUCUUAACAGGGAAUGUGGCGACAGACGCUGAUUCUCCUAGUUCUCACCCACUCCCUGCUGACCCACCCAGCUGUGCUCAGCCUGUGUGUCCCACUAGCGUAUGCUGUGCUCCUGACCGCUUGUUCUUGGGCAGCAGCGACUCACUGAUAAGUGUGAGUGACGUCCUCUUAACCGAGAGCUCUGUCUAUGGCUCCCCAAACCUUACCUCCUCAGAUUAUGACAGUGACCCAUACUGGACGCCCAUAACACGGCCCGUUCACUACCCUAACACUCCCAAAACAGACGUGUUAGCCCCAGUAACCCCUUCCUCGCAGCUGGUUAGUGUGACCCCACCUGUCAUAUCCCCGUGCUCAGCCACUGAAACUUGGACAUGCCCAGUCGAAAAUUCCCCCCAGAGUUCUCCCUCGCAGAAUACGUUCUGGAACCCUACAUUGUACUCUCAGACCUUUCCCGGGAAAGACGCUGGACAGAAUGGCCAAUACUGGUCCCCUGAUACGGACACUCACCUUAAUCCAGGUUAUGAAGGACAGCCAGCUUCACUAACUACAGAAUUCUGGACACCCCCAUUGGACACCUUAUCCUCCGACCACCACUACGGACCGACCCUCCAUGGUUCUGAGUGUUGCCCCUGUGUGAGCCCGCCUGUAGAAGGCAGCACCCGCUUGCCCCAAUACCACCCAGGUACCACACACCUGCCCGAGGGAAUUUGCUGCCCAGCGCCUCCACCGCCACAGCCUCCACCUCCUCUUCCACCCCCACCUCCACCUCCUCCUCCCCCUCCCAAAAUCCGGAGUGCGUCCUUUAUCUGUCUGGAUAACCCACUAACCUCAGUAGCCGUUGUGCCCUUUUGCAGUUGUCCACUACUAAUAUUCAUGAGUAUACUGGAUCUUACGAGAGAAGAAAUCUUGCGGGAAGACUUCACUGCAUGCAGCAGCAAUGCCAAGGACGGUGAGGACGCCGGGCUGCCUCCUCCCGCCGCCCACACUCGCCUGCCGGUGUGGUGGGCGGCGACCAGCUCCACCUCGUCCGUGGACUUGGAAUCCGCCCUCAAAUACAGUGCAUCUGAGAGUGAUGUCGAUAGUGACUUUGAUUAGUAAGAACCGCAUUUAGUUCAAUAGUUGUGGACUAAACCAUGAAUGUGAACUACUCCAAAUUACUCACCAAUGAAACACGCCCACUUAACCUCAUCGCACUUACCCGGUGACUCCUGAAAUGAUCCAGGAGUGUCAACGCUAGAACAUAAAGGGGAAAUAUUUUAGGGCUUUCUUUUCAAUAAAUGUAUUUAUGUAGAA
rnacentral:misc_RNA from 1 species